rnacentral:rRNA from 1 species
GACGAACGCUGGCGGCGUGCUUAACACAUGCAAGUCGAACGUGAUUUUUGUGGAAAUUCUUUCGGGAAUGGAAAUGAAAUGAAAGUGGCGAACGGGUGAGUAACACGUGAGCAACCUACCUUACACAGGGGGAUAGCCGUUGGAAACGACGAUUAAUACCGCAUGAGACCACAGAAUCGCAUGAUAUAGGGGUCAAAGAUUUAUCGGUGUAAGAAGGGCUCGCGUCUGAUUAGCUAGUUGGAAGGGUAAAGGCCUACCAAGGCGACGAUCAGUAGCCGGUCUGAGAGGAUGAACGGCCACAUUGGAACUGAGACACGGUCCAAACUCCUACGGGAGGCAGCAGUGGGGAAUAUUGCACAAUGGGGGGAAACCCCUGAUGCAAGCGACGCCGCGUGAGCGAAGAAGGUUUUCGAAUCGUAAAAGCU